CAUUAAAACCAUUUCCUAAUCACAGUGCUCUGAUAAAUGAUACAUACAUAGGAAACUUUCUUUUUUAUCAGAUUUUACACAUGCACUGCGCAUCCACACAACGUCAGGUAUUUCCCCCGACAUGAUUAUAAAUAAGAAACAUACGUACAAAGAUAGUGAAAGCACAACUGACAAGGUAUCAACACACACCAAAGACAACUCUGCAACAUGGUGCACGUAGCAGGAUCCACUCUCUGGAUGCAUAUCUUGAUCCUUCUUGGCUGCAGCUUAAUGAGGCAAACUCAUUCUCACCCAAAUACACUCAUUGUUCUUAAAGAAGUAUCAUCAAAGCUCAGUGAAGCCUAUAAACAACAAAUCAACCCCAAGUGUCCACCAAUGAACCUCACUGGGAUAUCAAGCAAUAUCACCGACUCUGCUUGUGCCUUCAGCAAAUAUCUCGAAUGUCUCCUUAAGAUGGAUUAUGUCAGUCAAGACAUCAUGAAGGAAACCAACGAACUGAAACGUCAAUUCAAUUCCUGUUUCAAGACAUAUGGCUGUAGUAAUAAUACUUCAAUGUUAGAUAAAAGAAUAAAUGAUGGAAAUUUUUAUAAUAAAAAAUGUCUGGGUUUAGAUGUCCUUAGGAAUUUAGCAUCAUGGUUGAAAGUGAAUAAACAACACAAAUGUGUUGGAAAACACUGAAGCUAAAAUUCCUCAACGUUUUGUGCUAAAUUAUUUAGGUAAAUUAUUUAAUUUAUUAUUUAUUAUUGAUUUAUUCUAAACUGGAAUAUCCUUGUUUGAAUGCAAUAUGCCUAAUGCAAAGACAAAAUAAAUGCAACAAAUUCUGCCUCCUCCAUUGUUUUUUUUGCCUCUUAUGUAAACAAAAAUGUCAAAUUCUCUCUUAUGUACAUGGUAAUGUUUGCA